UCUGCCUUAUCGGCAAGCGGUCCCCCUAGAGUGCCCAACUUAAUGCUGGCAACUAAGGGCAAGGGUUGCGCUCGUUGCGGGACUUAACCCAACAUCUCACGACACGAGCUGACGACAGCCAUGCAGCACCUGUCACCGCGUCCCCGAAGGGAACCCCUACUUUCAUAGGGUAGCGCGGGAUGUCAAGCCUAGGUAAGGUUUUUCGCGUUGCAUCGAAUUAAACCACAUACUCCACCGCUUGUGCGGGCCCCCGUCAAUUUCUUUGAGUUUUAAUCUUGCGACCGUAAUCCCCAGGCGGGAUACUUAACGCGUUAGCUACGACACUGAAAGGGUAAGAACUUCCAGCAUCUAGUAUCCAUCGUUUACGGCGUGGACUAC
rnacentral:misc_RNA from 1 species